ACGGAGGAUGCGAGCGUUAUCCGGAUUUAUUGGGUUUAAAGGGUGCGUAGGUGGACUGUUUAGUCAGUGGUGAAAUGCUGAUGCUCAACGUUAGCAUUGCCGUUGAAACUGACAGUCUUGAGAGUGAUUGAGGCAGGCGGAAUGUGUGGUGUGGCGGGAAAAUAAAUAGAUAUCACACAGAACCAAAAGUGGGAGGGCAUUUUGCAAAGCCACAACUGACACUGAAGCACGAAAGCGUGGGGAUCAAACAG
rnacentral:rRNA from 1 species